CCUACGGGGAGCAGCAGUAGGGAAUUUUCGUCAAUGGGCGCAAGCCUGAACGAGCAAUGCCGCGUGAACGAGGAAGGUCUUCGGAUCGUAAAGUUCUGUUGAAGGGGAAAAAGAGCGGAGAGAGGAAAUGGUCUCCGAUUGAUAUUACCCUUCGAGGAAGUCACGGCUAACUACGUGCCCGCAGCCGCGGUAAUACGUAGGUGGCGAGCGUUAUCCGGAAUGAUUGGGCGUAAAGGGUGCGUAGGCGGCCUGAUAAGUCUGGGGUGAAAGGUACCGGCCCAAACGGGACAGGCCCUGGAAACUGGCGGGCUAGAGAGCAGGAGAGGGCGGUGGAACGCCAUGGGUAGCGGUAAAAUGCGUAGAUAUAUGGAAGAACACCAGUGGCGAAGGCGGCCGCCUGGCCUGUUACUGACGCUGAGGCACGAAAGCGUGGGGAGCAAAUAGGAUUAGAUACCCCUGUAGUC
rnacentral:rRNA from 1 species